CCUACAUUCUCAAUCGUCUAAAUAUUAUGGAUUCAGAAGAAUUUUUGCUUGGUAAUUUGCCUUAUUGCAUCAUAGAUUUCCAAACUGUCAAAAUAUUUAAUCUUAAGUGAUAAUUUAUUAGUAGUUAUGUAAAGAAUGUUGAAUAUAAGCCAAAUGAAGAUUUUUUUUUGUUUGUUUUUGUUUUUGUUUUUUUCCGGAGCUGGGGACUGAACCCAGGGCCUUGCGCUUGCUAGGCAAGCGCUCUACCGCUGAGCUAAAUCCCCAACCCCGCGAAGAUUUUUUUUUUUAAGCACACACAUAGCCCAUUCUUUAGGCACCAUGCCUCAUGGGUAGCUAUCACAGUGGGACUGUAGCCAUCACAAUGAGACUAAGGAUUGCCCUAUGAUAGUGUGAUAGAAGACAGAGGGACACCAGCAACAAAGAUGUCUCAGAGCAGGCAUUUUACAUCUUUACUAUUAGGGACUUUCGGGCUGUCUUGUAGGGUAUGUGUAGAGACUGAGUUUACCACAAAGAUCACAUGGCACUCUGCACAAUGAAGUCUUAUUCAGGAAAUGCUGAGGAAGCUUUAAAAAAGUGCUUUUGCCAUAAAUGUCACACAUCAAGUGUCAUGUGAUUCACAUUAUUCUUGUUAAUGCCUCACUAACAAGUAACUGAAGAUAUUCAUGACAUAGCAGAGAAAUUUUGAGGAAAAAAAUGUCCUUAUGUGACACCUCUUAAAGUAAACUCUAAUGGGAAAACCAAGACUUCAUAGAAGUUGUAUCUUUUGCUAUAGGGCUCAUAUGGGGAUCAUCACCCGUUGUGUAUUCUGUUUCAUUUUCUUGAUCUGAUUCUCUGAUAUAAUGAAUUCAUGACUGUCUUUGGGUGCCCUUGUGGUGGUUUGGAUAUCCUUAGCCCAGGGAAUGGUACUACUAGGAAGUAUGACCUUUUUGGAGGAAGUAUGCCACUGUGGGGUUGGGCUUUGAGAGACCUUCCGGUUAGUUGCCUGGAAGCCAGUCUUCUCCUGUUUGCCUUUACACUGAGAUGUAGAGCUUUCGGCUAUUUUAGUGUCAUGCCUGCCUAGAUGCUGCCAUGUUCACACACUGAUGAUAAUGGAUUGAACCUCUGAACCUACAAGCUGGUUCCAGUUAGAUGUCCCUUAGAAGAGUUACCUCCUUGCUCAUCGUGUCUCUUCAUAGUAAUGGAAACCCAAAUUACAUCAUCAUCAUCAUCACCAUCAUCACCACCACCACCACUACCAUCAUCAUUGUUCUAUUUGGCUUUUCUACCAUGCUUAGUAAGCACUAGUAAACAUGAAACCAACCUGUUAUUUUCUCUAAUACUAAUUUUUAGGAGGAAAAGGCAGCAGAAAUAAUUUUUAAACUGAUAAAUCACUUUUUUUUUCUCAUUUUACCUUCUUCUGUGAGUGAUUAUAAAGAUUUAGUAGGACAGUAAUGUGACAUGGAAUGAGUAGUCCAGGCCUCUUAAAUUAGAUAGUCAAAGAGCUUUCAAAGAAGGACAUAGACAGCAUAUGCAGGCAUAGCAUUCAAUUAAGAAUGACUAUGCUCUUAUCCUAUUCAGAUUCUUUUACUUAAAUGUUCCAAAAAGUGCAGAAAACACAUAGAAUUGCCAUUUUAGUCUGAUCAGGAGGUAUUACUGUUUGCAUUCUAAGAUUCUCAUGAACUCAGAAGCUUAGCAAUCACUAGGAAGAGAUCAGUGAACCCAGAGGGAGCAUAGCUAAUUAUCUGUCUCACUGAAACAUUCCUUCCUUUGUGCAAAAUCAACUAGGGAUCUAUGGGCUUUGAAUACAUCAUCAAAUGAUGUGUGAAAGAGAUUCAAGUUCAACAAUAAAUAUCAUCAGCAAUAUAAUGCUUUUAAGCCCUAGGGGCCAAAUGACCUGAAUUUGUGUAAAUUGAUUUUGUUCAUGCAUUGUGUUAAGCCAAGCAAUUAUUUUCCAAGACAUGCUUGAGCCCAUGUUUGCUCUGUCUAUAAAGUUCAUGUUUGCAUUUUUCCAAUUGCUGAUUGCAAUCCCCCUUUACUUUAAUAUUAAGUACUCCUUAAAAAAAUAAGCAAUGGAUUUUAUACAUAGAAUACAAUCAUAACCAUUCAAUGUCACCCAUAAACAUCUGAUGAAUUGGCUAAUCCAGUUAUGAGUUUUACUUAUUUGAAACACAGUCAGGACAAGUCUUAACUGAGCUAAUUCAAUGAUAGACCAUGGCACUAAGCAAUGGGCACUCCCCUCCUUGUAUUAGUUAUGCAUGCUCUUUGAUCCAAGUGACCAUUUGUGUCCUUACCAUAAUCUUAAUCAACUUGUCAAGAUAAUAGAGGUCCUGGAGAGUUCAGAGAAGGCAUUUUAUAAUUCAUACACGUUCCAAGAAAGUACAAUGCAGAGUUUGUAAGAUGCACAUAUCCAUAGAGAGAGCAGUGAAAGUUGGGGGAGGCCUAUAUGCUUUAGAAAGGGUGGAGUUUACGCUCAGAUUGAGGGGAGAGGCUCAGGUUCUGAAAUGUGGUAGUAGAAGGGUGAGUAAAAUACGCAAGGACAAGUCCAAGGCAUGCAGCUUGAAGGAGAACAAGGGAAGAUAAACCCAAGAUGAUAAUAAAGUCUGAAUGAGUGGCAGAGUGGCUCCGCAGCUUGCUUUCAGCAAACCCCACAUCUCUAUUUGUUCCAGGCAGACAAAUCUAGGUUACAAGGGGGAAAGUUACUUAUCAUCCUCUGUGAAAGUCUACCAGACUUGCUUAGUAGUAAGAAAAGGCUUAUAAUUGCUUCUCCAAACCUUUCUGGUGGGCUGUACUUUUCAGCCCUUCUGCAGCCUGCUGAUUUCUGAACAAAGGAUUCUGUUCCAUCAAUGACCCAUUAAAUUAACCUUUGAUGGCUCAUAGCCCCAUGUUCUACUCACAUUCAGUGUAGCCAGGAAGUUAAUGAAUCAACCCCCUGAAAGCAAGAUGCACUCUUUGUGUAAAUUAUGUUUCAGCUUGUAGGGGAUUUUGAGUUCUUAAAGUGUGACUCUUGUCCUGUCAUCUGUGCACCUAGUUAACAGAUAUUCACUGUGGAUCCCCCCUAUACCAGACUAGGUCCCUGCUCCCGAGGCUUUACAAUGCACUUGGGAGAUGCUGCUGUUGCAUAUAAACUAAUAAGUAUCAUGAGUGAGUUGUUAAGAUUGUAACAGGCAUCCUAAUAAGGAGCUACUUGAGCAAGGACGGAAGAAUAGUUAUUUUAGCUAUAUGUAGGAAGAGAAGGAAGAGAAGGAAGAAGGGUGAGAACGACCUAUGAUUUGGAUAAACAUCCAGAUAUACAUCGAGGGGAGCUGAUAUCAGACAUUGCAGGCAGAAAACAAUUUGUACAAAGGGUCUGAGGUAGGGGAACCAAUGCUAGUUUAGCAAAAGCAAGUUAUACCUAGAGGAGACUUAUUACUGGCAUAGAAGUGUGCAGGGCCCAACAAAGAGGCUGAAGAAAUCCCUUUGGAUCACAAUGUUGUAAAUAAGCAAGCAAACAGGAAAGGGAAACAGACAUUACAGAUGGUUGGCAUGAAGCGUUGAGCCUGACAGCUGUUCCUAAGAGCAGUAGCAUUUGAAUCGUAGAGAUAAGAGAUGGAUUGGGUCAGAAGGUUCAAACUUAAAAGGCUUUGGAACCAGCAUUGUUCCUGUUGACCUCUCUCAUUCCGCAUUUGUAGGAAAGACUUUAAUGCUCAGUGGGAGGAAACACGAUAAAGACAUGGAGACACAGCCCAUGUGUGGGAUGUCAGUGUAUGUAAGCCACAGAAUUGUGUGAGCACUACUGACCUAUGGCAUGAGGGACACGCUUAGCGGCAUUCCAUCUCAUUAAAAUUUUUUUUUCAGACAAAAAUCAAGUACCUCAUUAAAAAGUACAUUGCAGGGAAUAACAAAACACACGUGAGGAGGCAAGCAACUCGCAGAUCAUUGAUAUGCAAUGCUGAGCUAGAAGAGACAGGAAGAAGCUGGAACUGGAAAAACUCAAUAGAAGACAGUCUCAUUAAAGUCAAGAAAGACUUAUGUCUUGUAUUUCUAAGAACUAAAGAAAAGAUGAAGGUUUUGUUAGGCACUUGUUCAAGUGCCACAAUACUAAUCAGAAAAAGGCACUAUUUGUUACCGAGCUUAAGCUUCUACAAGGGGAGAUAAAUGAGAGAAUGGGUCAGGUGUGGAAAGGCAGAACCAUGUGGUCUCUGUACCAAUUGUACACAUGCUUCCAAACAAUCGUGACCCGAAGGGUUGCAGAGUUAGGACUCUUGUCCUUUCACACCAAGGUCAAUCUAUCUGUUAGAAGUUCUUUCCCACAUGUGAUUUAUUCUCUUUUGAUGUUGACACCUGCCUCUUUAUAGCUUGAUUUUGCUAGAUCUUUCCUUAGAGACCACAAAAAAUAUUAUCCCACAUAAACACAUUUAGAGCCUUUAACCGUUUUCCCAAAAUGUUUGAUAUUUAGAAACAAUGACUGUGUCUUCCUUUCCACAUCCUUCUCCUCAAUCUCCAUACCUUUUCUCUGUUUCUAGAACUUGCCAUCUUGCACCUCUUAUGUGAGUCAUCUCCCAUCAUCACUAUUUGCCUCAAAAUUGUGUUCACAAAGAAUAUAACUUGAUGAGCGGACUGAACCUAGGACUUCUUUAGGUUGUAUUUCACACAGCAUAAGCAGAUGCCAGAAGAUUCUCCUGGGGACAAGACCCUAGAAAUGAUUGCACAGUCCUUGUUGAUUCAUGCAAUAUUGAUUUGACAUUUGUAUCUUUGGACGGAAAGAUCCAAAAAUCACACAGCUUCUAAAAUGUUCAGGAGAUUCAGGUUACACACAUGUCAUUUAAAUCAAUGUACUUUCUGUUCAGGAUAACUCAAAAGUUCCACUUUGAACACAUUUUGUCAAUUCAGGAUUCAUUGGAGAGACAAGUUGAGUCUACAGUGAUGCUUUCCUGGAGGCCAAUUACUGUCCACUGCUUCUUGCUAGAUUAUUUUUCAGAGGAAGAUGAUGUUCACCUUCAGAAACUACAUCUGAAAUCUCUUGAGAAUAAAGAAGCACAAAACAAGAGGGAACAACUUGGUGGCAUACGGGAGUUUGAGGGAAAUGCCAGAGUCUAUUACAUGCUCUGUGGAAUUAUUCAUCAGUGUCAGUUUGGGUUGUAGUUAGUCAGUGCUUUGAAAUGACAGUAUGUCUUAAGAGAUGGCUGCUGUGACUCUGGAAUUGACAGGAGAGAAGACCUGGCCGGCAAAGAAGUGCAUAAGUAACCAGCAAAUUAGUGAAAGGAAGAAGUAGAGUGGGGCAAAUCAAGAGCAGCAGCAUUAAAUAACAAUUAUACAAAUGUAA